AACCGGUCCCGAACCGAACUUUUAUAUAACCCGAAUGUGGUUGAUUUUGAUAAACCCGAAAAACCAAAAUCGGAAUGGAUAAAACCGAAACCCGAUUGGGACCCCGAAUACCCAUGCCUACAUUCAACAGUUCAAGACUCCAGAACAUAAAAAGAGAACUAGAGUUGAACUCGCACGUCCGUGCUGAUAUAUUUUUGUUUUUAAUAUAACAAUUAAAAUAUAAAAUAAAUUAUAUAUAUAUAUAUAUAUAUAUUAUAACAAUUUUUAUUUAUGUAAUCAUUAUUUUGAAAAUUGUAUAUAUUGGUUAUUUUUUGUUUAAAAGUUUAUAUUCUUGAAAAUUUUUUGUGUGACUAAAUUUUAAAUUAGCUAAUAUAAUAUUUUGAAAAUAUUUUUAAUUUAGUGUAUUAUAUUUUUGUUUUUUCGUCUCUUAGUCGACCGACCGCACCUUCAGGUACGCUACCUCUCCCCUGAUUUGUUUCUGCUAAUGGCGUUCUUCUUCUUCUAUUUUUGUUUUGUUUUUACUAUAAAAAUCAAGCCUAGAAAUAAUACAACCAAUAAAUUAUUAUUUAUUUUGUUAUCUAUAACAAAUUAAUAUGAUAUUUUUUUAAAAAAAUUGGGCUAUACUAUUUAAUUUCCAAAUGAAUUACCAAAAAUACAUAAAAUCUGGCCUAGACUAAAAUAUGGUAAAGAAUCAAAAAAAUAAUUGCAUAAUAGAAAUGGAUUAGAAUUUACAGAAAAUGAUAUUGUUUGAAUUUAUAUAUUUUUUUUGUUAGGAAAAUAUCAUAUAUACAUAAAUUUAGGAUAUUUUGUUAUUUUUUUAGUUAAUGGUCUAAUAUAUAGAUUUUUUUAUAGUAGAUAAAAUAAAGACUCUACUUUAAUAAAGCAGAUGAAUUAAAAUAUUGAAGUUUAAACAAAAUGACUUGACAAGGAUAUUUGAUUACAUCGUUUCGUUUAAUAUUAAUAUAAAUGUAUAACUGUUUUCUAUAGUAACAAAACUUCAUCACUGUUUCCUUGGAUCAAGUGGAGAUAUACGGGAAGGUGCGUGACGCACGAAACUCGACAUUAAACAACUACCCACGUUAGACCACCUUCAUCGAUGGAGUCUUAAGUAGAGUUUCAAGCAAAAAUGAAAAAAAAAUAAAUGAAAAAUGGGGAAAAAAGAAAGAACCGGAUCUUUAAUUGGAUUAUUUGAAACUGGUAAGACACCUUAACGUGGCAGUAUCCCAUUCGAUCAUUCCUUUAAUGUCUCUCUCUCCUUCGUCUCGCGAAAUCAAUUUGGCUUCCUCCUCCAUUCUCGAUCAAUCCGUCGCUGCUCUCGAAUUUCAUCAUCUCAUCUCAUCGUUCUAUUCUGAGAUCUCAUCUCAUCUCAUUUCAUCUCAUCGUUCUCGGUUAGGCAAGGCUUCCUCCUUCAUUCUCUUUGCUCUUGAAUCUCAUCUCAUCUCAUCGUUUUCUUCUGAGAUCGAAUCUCAUCUCAUCUCAUCGUUCUCGGUUAGGCAAGAAUCUCAUAUCAUCUCAGAAGAGAAGAAGGCUUGAAGAGAAAGCAAGGAUCGAGGGAAGGAUGAAACUCAGACAACAUGCAAGGCUUGCGGUAAUGAAGGUGGAAGAAGAUGAAGAAGAAGAAGAAGAAGAAGCAAGAUCAGACUGUAGGUUCGUGUGAGUUUGCUUUUGAUUCAUUACGGAAUCAACACAAACGUCAGAAAUGGAUUCACCAUCAUCAAAGCAUUUGUAUUUUAUUUCAGAAAGCAACAGGUAUAUCACAUGGGACUUGCAGAUGAAGACAGUUACCAUGUGACAGAACAAGACAAUAUGUUUGAUGUAAUAAAGUUAUUGAGUUUUGUAUCUCGUGAAGUCCUAAUUUGUGUGAAAUGUUUCACGUUUUUUUUUAGUUGUACCAAACGAUAUACAACCUGUCUAAACUUGUCUAUAUAAACUUGUGAGAAAGAAAUCAAAUGCAAAACAAAACAACAACUUUGAGCAUCUUCACUUCUUUUUCAAAAGCAAUUAUUUCUUCUCCUUAACCGAGCAAAACAAAUCAUCUCUAAGCAAUUGUUUCUUCUCCAUCACGUUUCUUAUCCUUCUCAUUUCUUCUCCUUCACAUUUCUUCUUCUUCUCAUUUCUUCUCCUUCUCAUUUCAAAUGGCAUUUUCUUCUUCUAAUAAUUUCGAAGACUUGGAUGAAAGAUUUGAUUAAAUUUUCGAUCAACAAUUCGAAAAUCUUCUAAUUCGUCAUGGUGAGCAUCAAGAAGCAUCAAGGUCAAAAAAGAAACGAACCUACAUUGAAAGACAACGAGAAGAAGGACACAUGCAGUUGUGGAACGAUUAUUUUAGUGAAGAUGCAACAUAUCCUUCUCACAUGUUUCGACGGCAUUUUCGAAUGAACAAGCCCUUGUUCAUGCGUAUUGUUGAUCGACUAUCCGCUGAAAUCUCAUACUUUCAACAAAGAAGAGAUGCUACUGGAAGGUUUGGUAACUCCCCGUUACAAAAGGCAACGACAGCAAUUCGUAUGAUGGCAUAUGGUUUCCCAGCUGAUGCGGUCGACGAAUACCUCCGACUUGGCGAGACCACCGUACUUUUAUGCUUGGAACAUUUUGUUCAAGGAAUCAUAAAUUUAUUUGGAGAUGAGUAUCUAAGAAGACCCACGCCAGAAGAUCUUCAACGUCUACUCGAUAUUGGAGAGAUACGCGGGUUUCCCGGGAUGAUAGGAAGCAUUGAUUGUAUGCAUUGGGAGUGGAAGAAUUGUCCGACCGCAUGGAAAGGUCAAUAUACACGUGGAUCAGGAAAGCCAACAAUUAUUUUAGAAGUUGUAGCUUCACAAGAUCUCUGGAUAUGGCACGCGUUUUUCGAACCUCCAAGUACAUUAAACGAUAUCAAUGUUCUUGAUCGACCCGGUUUUUGAUAAUAUAUUACAAGGUCGAGCUCCAAAAGUUAAUUACAUUGUCAACGGACACGAGUACAAUUUGGCUUACUAUCUCAUAGAUGGUAUUUAUCCAAAAUGGGCUACUUUUGUCCAAUCUAUUUCACUUCCGAAAGGUCCGAAAGUAUCUUUAUUCGCUACACAACAAGAAGCUGUACGUAAAGAUGUCGAGCGUGCUUUUGGGGUCUUGCAAGCUCGAUUUGCCAUAGUCAAAAAUUUAGCUCUUUUGUGGGAUAAAAUAAAAUUGGAAAGAUAAUGAGAGCAUGUAUCAUUCUACAUAAUAUGAUUAUAGAAGACGAACGAGAUGGGUACACUCAGUAUGAUUUAUAUGUUUUCGCGCAACCGGAAUCAAACCGAAGUUCACAAGUGGAUAGCACGUUUUUUACAGAUAUGCCUUUAAAUCUCGGCAAUAUGAUGAGCAUUCGGAAUCGAGUUCGUGAUAGAAGAAUACAUCAACAAUUGAAAGAUGAUUUGGUUGAGAAUAUAUGGCAAAAAUUUGAAAUGAAUCAAGAUUUCAACUAAUCGUUUUUUUCUCGUUUACUAUUUGUAUUUGUAUUUUUAAUAUGUUUUAAUGUCAUUUUUAUUAAAAAAUUUAUGUAUGCUUUUAUUUUAAAUCAAUCUACUUUUAAAAAAAAAUAUUAUUUAAAAACUCCUAUGGGUUUCUCCCAUUGGAGAGGAAAAAAUUAUUUGCACUAACCAAAGUUCUAAACUUGUCAAAUCACCUCAUUUACUCUUAAUUUAAUCAUUAGACCCAUUAGAGGGUCUAAUGGAUGGACAUGCUCUUAACUUAUUUGCCUCUGAGUUGACAAAAAAAAACUUAUUUGCCUCUGAACACAAGUUGCAGAAUUUCCUCUAUUCUAGUUCACCAUUUUCUCUAUAUUUAUUUUCUUCUCUUUUAACUAUCUAAUUAUAGUUAUAUACCU